UUUUUUUUUUAAAUUAGACAAGCUGCUAUUUGUCGGUUAUUAUUGCUAGUUAUUUCUGGUUAAUUUAGCCCAAUUUGAGACUUAAUUGACCUAAUUGUCUAGGAAGAAAAAGGAUUUAAUGCUAAUUUGUUCCGUGAAUUUGGCUUGGAUGCCCAAUCAAAAAACGAAAAUAAUCUAUGUGAUAAUUACACAUUAAAUUUGUCACAAAUUUGAUUAAUUUAACACGUGAG
rnacentral:misc_RNA from 1 species